rnacentral:rRNA from 1 species
UACGUAGGGGGCAAGCGUUGUCCGGAAUCAUUGGGCGUAAAGCGCGUGUAGGCGGCUUGGUAAGUCCGCUCUGAAAGCCUGGGGCUCAACCCCGGGAGGCGGGUGGAUACUGUCAAGCUCGAGUCCGGAAGAGGCGAGUGGAAUUCCUGGUGUAGCGGUGAAAUGCGCAGAUAUCAGGAGGAACACCAAUGGCGAAGGCAGCUCGCUGGGACGUGACUGACGCUGAGACGCGAAAGCGUGGGGAGCAAACAGG